UACGUAGGGUGCGAGCGUUGUCCGGAAUUACUGGGCGUAAAGGGCUCGUAGGCGGCCAACUAAGUCACACGUGAAAUCCCCAGGCUUAACCUGGGAACUGCGUGUGAUACUGGAUGGCUUGAGUUUGGGAGAGGGAUGCGGAAUUCCAGGUGUAGCGGUGAAAUGCGUAGAUAUCUGGAGGAACACCGGUGGCGAAGGCGGCAUCCUGGACCAACACUGACGCUGAGGAGCGAAAGCCAGGGAGCAAACGGG
rnacentral:rRNA from 1 species